UACGUAGGGGGCGAGCGUUGUCCGGAAUCACUGGGCGUAAAGGGCGUGUAGGCGGCCUAAUAAGUUAGAGGUGAAAGCCAAGGGCUUAACCGUUGGAUUGCCUCUAAAACUGUAAGGCUUGAGUGCAGGAGAGGGAAGCGGAAUUCCUGGUGUAGCGGUGAAAUGCGUAGAUAUCAGGAGGAACACUAGUGGCGAAGGCGGCUUCCUGGCCUGUAACUGACGCUGAGGCGCGAAAGCGUGGGUAGCGAAC
rnacentral:rRNA from 1 species